rnacentral:lncRNA from 1 species
GCACAGUCUCAAACUUGUGAAGAGCUACAACCCAAGCCCCAGCCUGGUUACGACCUGUGGCUUUGUGUUUUGAACCUUACAAAUCCCUUGAGUAGAGGAUGAGCUCUGCAGCCAAAAUCCUUCUUCUUCUCUGCUGCUCUUCUUUCUCCUCUUUGGAUGCGAAUUCUGCAUGUUGCUCUCUGUCAGCUGCAGUCAAGGUGUUGAGCGGACAGUCAAAGGAGAGUCCAGAGUGGGAUGUGUCACAGCAACUGGAAACCCUCUGCCAGGUGGCACGUUUCUGCCAGGGCAGUGUGCAAGGACAGUCACCUCUUAUCUCCCCUGUAGAAACUCACCUGCAUAGGUGGGAUUGGAAUACCUAGGAUGACACAGAUGGGGAACCUAAUGGUUCGAAUCUACCUGCUAAUUGUGUCCACACAGUCAGCCCAAUCUCCAUGGCUCUCCUUGCUCGAGGUGUUGAGGAGCUGUAAGGCAUGCCUGACUGCCAAAGGGCAGAUCUGUGCUGAGGAGCUUUGCAGUCUCCCACAGCUGUUGUGGGAUGGCUAAAGGACGUGGCAAAAGAGACUGGAGUGAGUUGUGAGAAAGGGAAGGCUAUUGCCCGGGUGGUGGGAGUGGGGGUGUUGAAUGUUGUUCCCCAAUCAGAACAAGAUAAGAAUUCUGUUAAUUUCAUGGCCUCUGCUACCAUUUGGGUCCUUUAUUACAAUUAAUACCUCUUUUCAGGGGUCUUUCUACUUUAGCAGGGUUCUCAGGUACUUUGCAUUGCUCGUCCUCUAGAUAAACCUUCCCCAGAAACGCAUACUCAGUAUAUAAGUAAAAUAGUAUAUACAUACAUAUAGAUAUAGAGAUAUCCAUCGAGAUUAGGUAGAUG